UGGCUCCUACGGGGGGCAGCAGUGAGGAAUAUUGGUCAAUGGCCGGAAGGCUGAACCAGCCAAGCCGCGUGAAGGACGAAGGUGCCAAGCAUUGUAAACUUCUUUUGUCAAGGGACAAAAUCAGGCUCGAGAGCCUGACCGAGGGUACUUGAAGAAAAAGCAUCGGCUAACUACGUGCCAGCAGCCGCGGUAAUACGUAGGUGGCGAGCGUUGUCCGGAUUUACUGGGCGUAAAGGGAGCGUAGGCGGACUUUUAAGUGAGAUGUGAAAUACUCGGGCUCAACUUGAGUGCUGCAUUUCAAACUG
rnacentral:rRNA from 1 species